CGUGCUUAACACAUGCAAGUCGAACGAGAAUCUGCGGAAAGAGGAUUCGUCCAAUUGAAGCAGAGGACAGUGGCGGACGGGUGAGUAACGCGUGAGGAACCUGCCUUCAGGAUGGGGACAACAGACGGAAACGACUGCUAAUACCGAAUACGUUCCUUAGGUCGCAUGACUUUAGGAAGAAAGGGUGGCCUCUACUUGUAAGCUAUCGCCUGAAGAGGGGUUUGCGUCUGAUUAGGUAGUUGGUGAGGUAACGGCCCACCAAGCCGACGAUCAGUAGCCGGUCUGAGAGGAUGAACGGCCACACUGGAACUGAGACACGGUCCAGACUCCUACGGGAGGCAGCAGUGGGGAAUCUUCCGCAAUGGGCGAAAGCCUGACGGAGCAACGCCGCGUGAGUGAUGACGGCCUUCGGGUUGUAAAGCUCUGUGAUCGGGGACGAACGGUCAGCAGACGAAUACUCUGCUGAAUUGACGGUACCCGAAUAGCAAGCCACGGCUAACUACGUG
rnacentral:rRNA from 1 species